rnacentral:rRNA from 1 species
UACGGGGGGGGCAAGCGUUGUUCGGAAUUACUGGGCGUAAAGGGCGCGUAGGCGGUUCGAUAAGUCAGCUGUGAAAACCAUGGGCUUAACUCAUGGCCUGCAGUUGAGACUGUCGGGCUGGAGUGUGGGAGAGGAGAGUGGAAUUCCUGGUGUAGCGGUGAAAUGCGCAGAUAUCGGGAGGAACACCAAUGGCGAAGGCAGCUCGCUGGGACGUGACUGACGCUGAGACGCGAAAGCGUGGGGAGCAAACAGG